rnacentral:rRNA from 1 species
GACGAACGCUGGCGGCGUGCUUAACACAUGCAAGUCGAACGGUGAAGCGCCUUCCUUUUUGGUGGGUGUGGAUGAGUGGCGAACUGGUGAGUAACACGUGAGUAACCUGCCCCCUUCUUCUGGAUAACCGCAUGAAAGUGUGGCUAAUACGGGAUAUUCUGGGUCUGUCGCAUGAUGGGUCUGGGAAAGAUAUUGUUUCGGUGGGGGAUGGGCUCGCGGCCUAUCAGCUUGUUGGUGGGGUGAUGGCCUACCAAGGCGGUGACGGGUAGCCGGCCUGAGAGGGUGGACGGUCACACUGGGAAUGAGACACGGACCAGACUCCUACGGGAGGCAGCAGUGGGGAAUAUUGCACAAUGGGCGCAAGCCUGAUGCAGCGACGCCGCGGGAGGGAUGGAGGCCUGCGGGUUGUGAACCUCUUUCGCCAGUGAAGCAGGCCUGCCUCGUUUGUGGGUGGGUUGACGGUAGCUGGAUAAGAAGCGCCGGCUAACUACGUG